rnacentral:misc_RNA from 1 species
GGCCCUGGUUAUCCCUACGGCAUAAGGGAUAUGGGAUGUAUAGAAGAGAGGGCAGAUCUUUCAGUGAUUAAUUAGGUACAUUGAGUUUCAUGUCAGGAACAAGAGAAGAAAGAAGACGAACCAAACAUAGUAACUAUAGAGAAGCUAAAGUCGAGAAACUACCAUAAUUAACAUUUGUGUACAUAUAUCAUAUAGAGAUUAGAUCAUAUGUUUUUGUUGUUUGAUAUUAGUAGCCCCCAUUUGUUCAGUAAGAUGUUCCAUGUUCUGAGUUUUAUCCCAUCCAUUUAUUUGUGGUUUGGUUUCACUUGUGUUUGAAAUAUCAUCAUCCAUUGCAGCAUCAGGGGAACAAGGGCUUUGGAGAAACUUUUCCCAGAAAGGGUCACCCACACUAGGAAACUCUUCUAUUUCAUCCAGCAAACCACUCUGCCAGUCAAUAUCAGCACCAGGAGACAAACAACUACCAAUAAUAUCUAGUCCC